AAGGUUUCAGAACAGUGCAUUGCGGUUUGUUGUGUAUAGGACUGUGUCGCAGCAGAAUGUUCAAAGUAUCCAUGACAACCCCUGUCCACCACUGAAAACACCUUCAAUGGGGACAUGAGCAUCAGAACUGGACCAGGCAGCAGGAUGCACUAUGGGAAGAAGGUAGGCCGGCGGAGGUAGUGUUAUGCUCUGAAAGAUGUUCAGCUGGAAAACCUUGUGUCCUGACAUUCAUGUGGAUGUUACUUUGACACGUACCACCUACCUAGAGAUUGUUGCAGACCACGUACACCUCUUCAUGGCAAUGGUACUCCAUAAUGGCAGUGUUCUCUUUUAGCAAGAUAAUACACCCUGCGGCACUGCAAAAACUGUUCAAGA